ensembl:snoRNA
UUGCAUCCACUGAUAGACCUGAAGCAGGCUUCAUUGGCUUCUGGGUUUGCAUAGAGAUGCUAAACUGAGCCUUCCUUGCGCUUUCUGACUGCUACAUUUUAUAGCAGCACAGAUUGAAUUGAGGAAUACAUUC